rnacentral:rRNA from 1 species
GGGGAAUAUUGCACAAUGGGGGAAACCCUGAUGCAGCAACGCCGCGUGAGCGAUGAAGGUCUUCGGAUCGUAAAGCUCUGUCCUGAAGGAAGAAUAAAUGACGGUACUUCAGGAGGAAGCCCCGGCAAACUACGUGCCAGCAGCCGCGGUAAUACGUAGGGGGCAAGCGUUAUCCGGAAUCAUUGGGCGUAAAGGGUGCGUAGGCGGUUCAUUAAGCCAGAGGUGAAAGGCAAUAGCUCAACUAUUGUAAGCCUUUGGAACUGGCGAACUUGAGUGCAGGAGAGGUAAGUGGAAUUCCUAGUGUAGCGGUGAAAUGCGUAGAUAUUAGGAGGAACACCAGUGGCGAAGGCGACUUACUGGACUGUAACUGACGCUGAGGCACGAAAGCGUGGGGAGCAAAC